GCAGCUUUAAGACAUUAACAGACAAAAGAUCAGAGUAGUCAUUAAUCUGUUCUUCAGUAUUUGAGUUGAGCAAGUGACUUCAAGCUUUCUGAGAUUUCUUAGCAAUUAAAAAUAGAUCUUUUAUAAAUGUAGCUAUUGCAAAUAGAUGUGCUACGUAACAACUGUAACUUGUAAUUUUUUUUUGUUCUAGCAAUUAAAAAUAGAUCCACUCUUUUCCUUCGACUGAUCAAUGCACAAAUACAAAUUAUAAUAUAAUACAAAACAGCUCCAAACAAUUAUAAAUAUAAAGGUUCAUAUGAGUAACAUACAAAAGGGAUUGUAGACAGAAAUGUCUCACAAAUGACAAAUUAUACCAAGAUAAAUCAGGGUAACAUUUACACCAAACACAGCAACUAAUGUCCUGUUAGUAAAUUCAAAUUUAAAUCCACUAGCAACAGCCUUAUACAAAGAAGUUCAACAUAUGAAAUGGAAUCAGAUUUUUAUUAAAAAAAAAUAAAAGAAUUAGAUCAUUCUUACACAACAGUGAUUCAAAUUCAAGAAAGAGUACCUGGUUGCACCUCAAACCAAUUCUUAAAACCAAAUGAAAGCAAGAUAAGAAAAUGUUAAAGCCAGCAAGGAUGAACAACUAAAUUCGGAGAAGAAACACCAACACUACAACCUAGCUUCCCUCCAAAAUCCCAGUACAUGCGAUGUAGGAGAAUAGGAUUCAAAUCGGUUUUCGAUUCCUUUUUUUUUUAAAUCUGACUUUGCUUUCUGAAUUUGUUUUUUGAAAUUUGUUCUUCAAUCUCUCAUGUAUGUUUGUGAGAACUGCUAUGGGUGAAUCGCAUGGUUCAGGGAGAUGAGGGAUGGCUAAUUUUCAUGUGUAGAGGUGAGAACGAAAAAGAAAAUGGAAGGGGAGGUCUCUUUGCUCUGUCGUCGCUGCUAUCUCUAGAGAAGGGGUCUCAUGGAUCUCUCAUGGUAUGGAAAAAGUGAUGCCCUUAAGUCUAGGUCUUGCCUUUUAUAAAAAGAGUUUAGGUUAAAAGGGUAUUGGAUAUGGUAUUGGGCUUGGCUUGUAGGAAUUGGGUCAAUUUGAAUUCUAGCCCAAUUUUAAGGUCAAAUAAAACAUUCUUAAAAUUCUUCUCUUUCUUGUUU
rnacentral:lncRNA from 1 species